rnacentral:rRNA from 1 species
UACGAAGGGGGCUAGCGUUGUUCGGAAUUACUGGGCGUAAAGGGCGCGUAGGCGGUGUGUCAAGUCAGGCGUGAAAGCCCCGGGCUCAACCUGGGAACCGCGUUUGAGACUGGCACGCUCGAGUUCGGGAGAGGAUGGUGGAAUUCCCAGUGUAGAGGUGAAAUUCGUAGAUAUUGGGAAGAACACCGAUGGCGAAGGCAGCCAUCUGGACCGACACUGACGCUGAGGCGCGAAAGCGUGGGGAGCAAACAGG